CAUGAACGCUAGCUACAGGCUUAACACAUGCAAGUCGAGGGGCAGCAUGACGGAAGCUUGCUUCCGUUGAUGGCGACCGGCGCACGGGUGGGUAACGCGUAUCCAACCUGCCCUUGUCCAUCGGAUAACCCGUCGAAAGGCGGACUAACACGAUAUGCAGUUCACAGCAGGCAUCUAACGUGAACGAAAUGUGGAGGAGAAGGAUGGGGAUGCGUCUGAUUAGCUUGUUGGCGGGGGAACGGCCCACCAAGGCGACGAUCAGUAGGGGUUCUGAGCGGAAGACCCCCCACAGUGGAACUGAGACACGGUCCAAACUCCUACGGGAGGCAGGAGUGAGGAAUAUUGGUCAAUGGGCGGGAGCCUGAACCAGCCAAGUAGCGUGCAGGAAGACGGCCCUCUGGGUUGUAAACUGCUUUUAUACGGGGAUAAAGUGAGCCACGUAUGGCUUAUUGCAGGUACCGUAUGAAUAAGGACCGGCUAAUUCCGUGCCAGCCGCCGCGGUAAAAC
rnacentral:rRNA from 1 species